rnacentral:misc_RNA from 1 species
GUGAAUCAUCGAAUCUUUGAACGCACCUUGCGCCUCUUGGUAUUCCGAGAGGCAUGCCUGUUUGAGUGUCAUUUAAUUCUCAACCUCAAAAGCUUUAUUGUUUCUGAGGCUUGGAUGUGGAGGCUUCUUGCUGGCUCGAUUCAGAGUCCGGCUCCUCUGAAAUGCAUUAGUGGAAGCUGUUUGUAGUCCGCAUUGGUGUGAUAAUUAUCUGCGCCAUUGUAUAUACUUGUGGCUACAGCUCCUGUAGUGUUCGUUUGGAAAGCUUGCAUGAAUUUGCUCUUUCUGCUUUAAUUGACCCUGCAAGAAAGCAGUAUUCGCUUCAAACCGUCCUAAGUCAUUGGACAAAUCAGCUUGAUUACUUUGACCUCAAAUCAGGUAGGACUACCCGCUGAACUUAAGCAUAUCAAUAAGCGGAGGA